rnacentral:rRNA from 1 species
GGAAUCGCUAGUAAUCGCGGAUCAGAAUGCCGCGGUGAAUACGUUCCCGGGUCUUGUACACACCGCCCGUCACACCAUGGGAGUCGGAAAUGCCCGAAGUCUGUGACCCAACCUUAGGGAGGGAGCAGCCGAAGGCAGGUCGGAUGACUGGGGUGAAGUCGUAACAAGGUAAC